AAAAGGGGUUUCUGUCAUGAGUGAUACACGUAGGGCAGCUUGAUUGCUCCAUGAGCAGAAUUAACAUCAAGAGGUUUCAGAAGCAUCAUUUUUGGUACCUGGGCAGCUGACGAUUGUUGGUCCUGGUGCCCAU